rnacentral:rRNA from 1 species
AUACGGAGGGUGCAAGCGUUAAUCGGAAUUACUGGGCGUAAAGGGUUCGUAGGCGGUUAUUUAAGUCAGAUGUGAAAGCCCCGGGCUCAACCUGGGAAUUGCAUCUGAUACUGGGUAACUAGAGUUUAAGAGAGGAGUGUGGAAUUUCCGGUGUAGCGGUGAAAUGCAUAGAGAUCGGAAGGAAUAUCAGUGGCGAAGGCGGCACUCUGGCUUAAAACUGACGCUGAGGAACGAAAGCGUGGGUAGCAAACAGGAUUAGAAACCCUUGUAGUCC